rnacentral:lncRNA from 1 species
AGUCCUUCGCCGUCCCUCGCCGUCCUUCGCCAUCGCACGCCACCGCACCCCAUCUCUCGAAAUCUGCAGACAUCUUGAUUUUUCCCACGCUGUCUGUCAGGUCUCCGCCGCCACUCGACGCCAGGGCGCCGGGCCUUGUGGGCUGUGCUGCACCUCGGACGGCUUCGCACCAGCCAGCGCCCUCUCUCUCCUGCAGCACUCUGAUCUGCACCCCCUGAGGGGCUUCCACUGUCCGCGGGGAGUGUCACAUGACUGCCGCCCCAUGUGUGUGAGAGGCGUCCUCUGGGAGAGCAUGGAUCCUGAGGUCCCAGGAUUGUCAGCUGACCUCUGUCCUGUGUGCCCAGUGGCCCCAGGUGACGUGUCUUCAAGAAGAGGCUGAGCUGCGGUGCUUGUAAGGGUCUCAUUCUGUCACCCAGGCUGGAGUGCAGUGGUGCAAUGAUGGCUCACUGCAGCCUCGACCUGGGCUCAAGUGAUCCUCCACCUCAGCUUCCUGAGUAGCUGGGACCACAGAUGGGUCUGCUGUGUGCAGAGGCUCCAUGGGAUGUGUUGUCUUCAUAGUAGCAGGGCGCUGGACCAUGGGUCCGCAAGGUCUCAGCCUUAGAUCCAAGGACAGUCCAAGGAAGUCCUAAGACCAUGGAGUUGGUGAUCUGGGAUCUGGGUUUGCUGAUAUUUCUCACCGUGAAUCUCUUGGUGGUGUUUGUGGGCACGAGAGGGGCAGAGAAUGGAGAGUGAGGCUACCACAUGAAGCGUCACCAGAGCUGCUCCCUGCUGCCUGCUCAGAGCACCCCGGAUCCACUGUUCAAUCUGCACAAGAUUCGGGGUCCAGACAUGGGAGACUUCAGCUGCCUCAGAGGACCGUGGACAGGGAAGGCCAGCCUCGCAUCCCUCUGUCCAUGCCUGGAAUGACUUUAAUAACCAAGAGUUUUAUUUUUGAAUUUGUAGCUGUCGUUCACUUUUUACCCACCCAUUCAAUAAACCUUACAGAAUUGCUCCA